CUUAGGCGGGAAAUCCCUUAGUCAAAAUGGCCGCCGCUGUCUCUUUUUUUAAUCUGAGGCGCCCAAAAUGGCUCCCUUACCUCACUGAAGGGAAAGAAAUUGGGCCAAAAAGAAAAAAAAAGAGAAAGAAGAAUCAAGGCUGCUUUAUUUCCUCAAGUUUGGACAAAGGAGGAAUAAAAAGAGACUCAAGAGGGACAUCAGAGGUUUAAUUGGGACCAUCCCUGUCAAAUCAAGACAGUCGGAGGAGUGACAAAUGGAGUGACCUUCCGUAUUAUUGGCCUCAACACCUACAGAAGUCCCAACAAGCGUAGAUCCAUGGAAUCAAAGUCAGAUCCAUUAUCGUUUCAACUUUUGCGCGGAAAGAUGACAGAGUCCUUCCCAGUAGCCUUGGUCGAAGUCGAGUUCGCCCCGAACCUGAUGGGUCUAAAAUUAGCAUGAAGAUGGUGGCAUUUCAUGUAUAUAUCUCUGAAGGAGCGGUGCAGCUUACCCAAAAAAGUUGGUUCGACUCUUCCGCGCCAGGUUGCUGGUUCCCUUCAGAGCUACGACAGCUGUAAUUUCGGAGAUAUCAAAGACUAAUGGAGAGAAGACGAUGAUGGAACCGGCAAGCAGUGUGAACAGAUGACCAUCUUAUAGAUGCAUUAGAACUGGACAAACAAAGUAUUUCUCGAAUGUGAAGAAGCAGUUCCAGGGCCAGAGAAAGCAGAAGAAUGGCCUGACUCAGGGGAGCGUGCUUGCUCCAUCAGUAUUUAAUAUUUACACAAAUGACCAGCCACUGCCGGAAGGGACAGAGAGUUUCAUCUAUGCUGACGAUUGUGCCAUCACCGCUUAAGCAGGGAGCUUUGAAAUGGUUGAACAGGACUUCUCCAAAGCUUUAGGGAAAACCAGCUGAUUCCUAAUCCAUCUAAAAUGCAGACGUGUACUUUUCACCUUAAGAACAGACAAGCAUCUCGAGUUCUGAGGAUUAACUGGGAACGAAUCCCAUUGGAGUAUUGCAGCACAACGAAAUACCUGGGAGUCACUCUGGACUGUGCUCUGACUUACAACAAGCACUGCUUGACUAUCAAGCAAAAGGUGGGUGCUGGAAAUAUCAUAUGAAAGCAGACUGGCACAACUCAGGGAUCACAACCAGACACAGUGAAGAGAUCUGCCCUUGCAAUUUGCUACUCUGCUGCUGAAUAUGCAUGCCCAGUGUGGAAUAUAUAUCACCACGUUAAAACAGUAGAUGUGGCUUUUAAUGAAACAUGCUGCAUUAUCACAGGAUGUCUAUGCCCUAUACCAGGGAUCCCCAAACUAAGGCCCGGGGGCCGGAUGCGGCCCUCCAAGGUCAUUUACCUGGCCCCCGCCCUCAGUUUUACAAUAUAAUAUUUUAUAUCAGUUUUAAUAAUAUAUUGUAAAGGUAAAGGUUUCCCCUGACGUUAAGUCCAGUCAUGUCUAACAAUGGGGUGUGGUACUCAUCUCCAUAUAUUGUAUAUACAUAUAAUAUUGAUAAAAAUAUUAUGUUAUACAAUAUAAUUCUAAUAAUAAUACCAUAUAAUAAUAUUAAUUAUACAUUAUAUGUUACAUAUAAUAUUACAGUAUAGUGGUAUAGUUCAAUAUCGUAAUAUAGAAUGCUAAUAUUGUGCUAUGCUAAUAAUAUAAUAUCAAUAGCUUUUGAUGAGUAAAUGACAAAGUUGACAUGGCCUGAUUUAAGGAUGAAGCACGAGGAUCUCGGACGAAUGGAAUUAAUUAUAUGUACGUUUUUAAGGUUUUUAUAAUGUGUUUUAACAAUGUUAUUAAUGGAUCUGUUUAUAUUGUUUUGUUUUUAUGAUUGCAUUUUGGGCAUUAAAUUUUGCCAAUUUUUGUAAGCCGCCCUGAGUCCCCUCGGGUGAGAAGGGCGGGGUAUAAAUGUUGUAAAUAAAUAAAUAAAUAAAUAAAUAAUAUAUUGUAUGUACAUACAGCUGCUCUGAGUCCCCUUCGGGGUGAGAAGGGUGGGAUAUAAAUGUAGUAAAGAAAUGUAGUGAAUAAUUAAUUAAUUAAUUUUAGACUUAGGCUCGCCCAAAGUCUGAAAUGACUUGAAGGCACACAACAACAACAACAAUCCUAAUUCACUUGACUAUCUCAUUGGCCAGUAGCAGGCCCACACUUUCCAUUGAAAUCCUGAUAGGUUUAUGUUGGUUAAAAUUGUUUCCAUUUUUAAAUAUUGUAUUGUUCUUUCAUUGUUGUUGUUUUGCACUGCAAAUAAGACAGGAAUUUGUUAGAAUUUUUUUUCAAAUGAUAAUUCGGCCCCUCAGCAGUCUGAACGAUUGUGGACCGGCCCUCUGCUCUAAAAGUUUGAGGACCCCUGCCCUAUACCAUUGGAGAAACUAUACAGUAUUGCAUCACCUGACAUCCGUCAGGAAGCACCAGCCAAUAAUAAAAGGACCGAGGCAGUGACAUCUCUGGCCCAUCCUCUGUACGGAUAUCAACUAAAUCUAUCCACUGCCAUCGCUUUAAAUAAGCUUUUUUUCAUUAACGAAUAGUCCCGACAGCUAAACAUUUUCCCUAGUUUUGGAGACGAUUCCCCACUCCGUAUGACGCCAGAGCAGAAACAUCCACGCUUCUACGUUUUUUUUAUUAUGCAUAUUAAUAAAUAUUCUUUAUUUUUAAAUUUUGCACAUUGCGCUUCAACAUAUUACAUCCAGAACAAUUUCUCUUUGCAAAUGGAUGUCUACUUUGUAAAAUCUUUAUAUUUGAACUCAUUGUCAUUUUUCUGUACAGAAUUAUAAGUACAACAUUACUUCUUUUUUUUUGCCACUAAAGUUGCGUAUUUUUGUCUUUCUCUGUUAAGUGUCACAGUUAAGAGAAACAUUGAAUGAAAGGAGAGAAACAGAGAGAUGGCUUAAAUUAGGAAGGUCUAGAUUUGCUUCGAUCUAGUAAAAAAAGAAGAAGAAAAUUACUCAAGAUCUGAGCCUGGGGGGG